UACGUAGGGUGCAAGCGUUGUCCGGAAUUAUUGGGCGUAAAGCGCUCGUAGGUGGUUUGUCGCGUUGUUCGUGAAAACUCACAGCUCAACUGUGGGCGUGCGGGCGAUACGGGCAGACUAGAGUACUGCAGGGGAGACUGGAAUUCCUGGUGUAGCGGUGGAAUGCGCAGAUAUCAGGAGGAACACCGGUGGCGAAGGCGGGUCUCUGGGCAGUAACUGACGCUGAGGAGCGAAAGCGUGGGGAGCGAACAGG
rnacentral:rRNA from 1 species